rnacentral:rRNA from 1 species
AUGUCUGACGACAAAAAGGAUUUCGGUAUUUGCAAAUACUGCGAAGACGAGCGCGGCCUGUGCGACGGAAUCUUCCUAGAUGAUGAUAGGCGCUUCAGCAUCAAGCUAGACGAGAACUUCGAAGUGGAUACACGUAUCCCCUGCCAUGCAAGAGUUUUUGUAUUGGAUAAGAUAGGUUUCAGUCAUACAAUGGAGGUAAAGAAAGUUUAUUUGAAGACCGAGCAUGGUUAUAUUUUCCAGCAAAAUUAUACAAUUCAGACGACUACACCUAUUUUGGAUGCAAAACAUGGCGAGCACUAUGCAAGACUUAUGCAUUUCAGCCUGAUAUGGUUAUCACCUUUGAUAUUCGUCUGGAAGAUGAUAUUGAAGGUAAUACCGACAUCUGGGUCGAUGUGCAGACGCCUCCAGUUACACCAAAAUUGCAAGCAAACAUGUCCAGCGCUUGGUAGACAGGGCCUACUACUGUCCCAGGGCUGA